UUUGCUGUGAUGCCGCACUGGCCUGGACAUCCUUGUAGAUCCGGGCUUUGAGGCGGGCAGGAGGAGAUGGAGCUGCCGUUUAAUCCACCUGGUGGAGCAAGGCAGUGAGCAGGGCCUGUUGCCUGUGACCACAAAGUCCUGCUUUGUUCUCAGUCCCUGGGAGCAGAGCCAAGCAAUGGAUGCUGAUGACAUUUGGACUUCAUUCUUAAGUUCAACACAGCAGGUCACACUGGGAAUUUCUAGCUCAGAAAGGAUUCACAUAGGGGGAUGAUUUGACCCCCUCUCCCAAUUGGGCACCCCAUAAUCAGCCGGGAAAUGCACUGGGGUUGGGUAGAGAGUGUGCAGGGUGGGCAGCAGCACUGGAGGCAGCAUGGAGGUCAUGCCAGAGUUAUGGGAGAAAACAUAUGUCAGUUGGACCUAACUGCAUCGUAGAGACUUCAUUGUUAGGGUCCAAAACCAGUCCAGCAUCCACGGUCUGUCCUCCUGUGGGAGUGCCUGGGGACAGAUCCCAAAGACCAAGACACAAAAACAUCUGUGUCCAAGGGAGCCAAGGGGAAGGAGCCAUCCUGGAGCUCCAGGAGAGCGCAGCACAGGCAGCCUGAAGCACCGCCCUGCACAGGGGCACCCUCCUGGCCCUGGGGCACAGGCCAUCAUCAAACCAUUUGGACAGAUGAAGGCAUCUGAAGACUCACGAUCGUCAGGAUCCUCUCUCCAAACACCUGCCUGACAAGUAGUCCCACCAUGAGGGGAACCAAAAACCCAAAACAACCACAACCAAAAGUCUUCUUCCAGCCAUGGGAAGCCAGCCAGCCCUUGCACUGUCCAGACCUGCUCAGCCAGGAUCUGCAAGGCCAUCACAGCCAGCUUGGGUACAUCAAAGCCCCACAACCACCCUGUGUUCUGUGAGUGCCUGCCCUAUGCCUAAACUUGCCAAGAGAGAAGAACCAGAACUGAUCCCUGGCCCCACCUGAGAGGGAUCUGGGCAGCUUACAGGUGGUCAUCUGUGAGGGUCCAGUGCCAAGCAGCACUGCAGUAACUGUAGAAUAAUACAUUUCUUGCAGGGGUUUGGCCUCGAGCAGGGAUUUGGUUCCUCAGCCUGCAGGGCUGCUGCUGCUGUUUCUGCAUCUGAGGCUGUGGCUCAGAGCCUGUAUGGCAGGGCAAGCAUUCAGGGAGGAUGACAGAUGUCAAGUAUAGGAAGCAAGACUAAGUGGCCCCCACGGCUGCACAGGAUCCACAAGGACCAACUGAAACUGCUUUGAUCUCUAGUAGGAGAGGCCAGAGCAGGGGCUGCAGCAGGACCCAAAAGUGGCCACCAGCAGCUGCCCCCCCCCCCCGACCAGGUGAACCAAAGGGUCAGGUACAGCGGCCUGCACGGACCUAUGAGCAGGCAGGCUGCUCCCAUGCUGCAGCCUUCUGCAUCACAACAUGUGCUUCAGGCUGCCUUGCAACUAUUCAGAGAAGACAAUUCUGAGGAAUAAUGGCCAGCUCAGCUAAGAGGACCCUACAUAAACCCACUUAACAGGUAUCCAGGGCGCAACCUAACAGGUGAUCAUUUCUCCUAGGAAGAGAGAGUCUGAGAGCUCCAGAAACACAACUUCAGGGAACUCAGCCGCUCUUUUAAAAUGAGGUCCAGAGAUCAGGAAGGCUCCAGGGAGGUGGAAGCAUCUCAACUGGUUUUGGGAAUCAGGUGAGAACAGGUCAUGGGGGCUAAGAGGACAGAAGUUCUGACAGAGGGGUUACAGGAGCCAAGGCAGGGCAGCAAUCACAGGAGAGGAGACUGUGACAGGUAGUGCACAGGCCUCGCAAAGAAUCAUGGGCAGCCGGCAGAGCAGGCGCGGCAGCGGCAGCGUCUGCUGCAGAGCUCAGAGGGGACGGUACGCAGAGAUGAGCCCCAGCUUCCUCCCCGCAGGGCAAAUAACCAAAAGUGAAAAACGUUUUACAGGCCAUGAAGUUUCCUACUCCCUUGUGUGAAAUUAAAGUCCUUGGAUUGGAAUCACAAUAUCCUUUUUUUAGAUUAUGUUUCAGAUGCUCCUUUUUAGGUCUUGAACUCCCUAUGACACUCUACUUUUUCCCUGUUUUUUACUACACGAAGUUAAUAUUAAAACAUAAAUGAGGUUUGGACCUCCCUUUAUUACUCAUCAACUAUAGCUGGCUUAAAAUUUGAGGGUAUUAGCUUUUUCCUACAGCCCAAAUUAAAUCGAACCUCCCUUUCUUUGUCUUCUCUCCCUCUCUACCUCUUUCCCUUCCCACCUCUUCUUUCCAUCAGCCUUUGCUUAAUUUGUCUUUUCUUUUUUUAAUUGAUUCUUACAUCAAAAACCAAAAAGAAUUAUGAUACUAAUGAAGGAGGUAUAACAAAAGAGAAGCAGUAGGCACAUCACCACUAAACUAUGACAAAAACUGCAUCUGACCCAUGCCACCCCUCACUCCUGUCCACAGGCAUUCUUAGUUUUUCCUGGUGGUCCCAACAAGGAGUAGAAUUUAAUAGUUUGCUUUAUUCACUUGAUAAUAUCAUAUUUUCCACUUUGCCAAAUCAGCUUCCCUGUUAUCAUUUGCCACAAGCCUGUGGCUUUCAGGGAAUGGACUAAAGUCCAUGGCGGGGAAGCCUUGGCUGAUGCCUCAAUGUUGGUAGCUUUAAGGGAGGGUGCUUUAGACUGACUGUGAUCCACAGAGAACUGCCCUCUGGUCCCAGUGAACAGUGAUGGGCAGGUCUAAGAGAAUUUCUUUGCCAUUCGGAUAACAAUGUCUUAAUGCACCUGAAGUGACUUGAAGAGAAUGAUCUGAAGAGAUGCAGCGCAACCCAGCAGGACUUGCAAGGUGGAGAAGAGAUGUUCGAGUUCCUCCUACAGAAGACCUUGGAAGAGAUUCAUACACAAAAGAAAGAAAGCAAAAUAAUGCUUUAUGCUAUUAAGUUUUGCAUUCCAAAACCUCAA